AGAGUUUGAUCCUGGCUCAGAACGAACGCUGGCGGCAUGCCUAACACAUGCAAGUCGAACGCUUUGGCUUUCGGGCCAAGGAGUGGCGCACGGGUGAGUAGCGCGUGGGAACCUGCCUUUCAGUGGGGGAUAACCGAGGGAAACUUCGGCUAAUACCGCAUGCGCCGGGAGUGAUCCCGGGAAAGAUUUAUCGCUGAAAG
rnacentral:rRNA from 1 species